rnacentral:rRNA from 1 species
UACAGAGGUCCCGAGCGUUGUUCGGAUUCACUGGGCGUAAAGGGUGCGUAGGUGGCUUGGUAAGUUUGAUGUGAAAGCUCAGGGCUCAACCCUGAAAUGGCAUUGAAUACUACUGAGCUGGAGGUUUGGAGGGGGGACUGGAAUUCUCGGUGUAGCAGUGAAAUGCGUAGAUAUCGAGAGGAACACCUGAGGUGAAGACGGGUUGCUGGGCCGACACUGACGCUGAGUGCGCGAAAGCCAGGGGAGCAAACGGG